rnacentral:rRNA from 1 species
UACGGAGGAUCCAAGCGUUAUCCGGAAUCAUUGGGUUUAAAGGGUCCGUAGGCGGUUUGGUAAGUCAGUGGUGAAAGCCCAUCGCUCAACGAUGGAACGGCCAUUGAUACUGCCAGACUUGAAUUACUGGGAAGUAACUAGAAUAUGUAGUGUAGCGGUGAAAUGCUUAGAUAUUACAUGGAAUACCAAUUGCGAAGGCAGGUUACUACUAGUGGAUUGACGCUGAUGGACGAAAGCGUGGGGAGCGAACAGG